GUGCCAGCCGCCGCGGUAAUACGGAGGGUGCAAGCGUUGUCCGGAAUCACUGGGCGUAAAGGGUGCGCAGGCGGGGCAGCAAGUCUCCCGGGAAAUCCACCCGCCCAACGGGUGGGCGUCCGGUAGAAACUGGCCGGCUUGGAACCGGAAGGCUCAGAGAGUACGUCCGGGGUAGGAGUGAAAUCCCGUAAUCCCGGACGGACUACCGAUGGCGAAAGCACUCUGAGAAGACGGCUUCGACAGUGAGGGACGAAAGCUCGGGUCUCAAACCGGAUUAGAUACCCCGGUAGUCC
rnacentral:rRNA from 1 species